AAAAAAAAAAAAAAAAAGAAAGGAAAAGCAUUAAAUAUCUGACGUGACUUCAUAAAUAUUUUGAUUAAGCUAUUGGGAGUGGUAUGUAAAAUAUAAAAUAAAUUGUUCCUGGAAGGCCUUACUUUUUUUUAAACAAUGGUGCCCCUAAGUUACAAGAGCUAUACAUUACAGUAUUAAUUACUGAGGCUAUGUUAUGACAUGUUACAUCGCACCUGCAUUUAAUAGAAUGUGAUGAGACUUUUUCUAUAUCAACUUGUGAUUUUUAGUACAAGAACACCUUUUAUAAAUAUACUGUCUUGUUAGAAAUGUAAAUCUUGUAGCUUUCUAUAAUAGGUGCUUGGAAAAUGCACAAGAGAUUUAGCUUUGAAUCUCAGGUACCUCUGAUAUAGUGGUGACAUGCUGAAUAUUUUUUACAUGACAUGCAACUGGAAUCAGUUUCUUGUUACAGUAAUGUGAAGGAAUUCUCUUGUUUUAAAUUUUGCAUCAUCAUUGUGUGCUGGCAUAACUGGACAAUGUUCUGUUUCACUUUAAUGUCUUGAUUCUGACUUAUUUCCUGUAGGAAGUGCAUACACUUAAUGGAUCCUAAUCUUCUAACUUUGAAUUAAGCAUUACUUUGAAUGCUGUUGCACACGUGAAGAGCAGUGAUUCCCAUAUAUGCCUAAAUAGAAAAAGAAUGCCACGUGUGUAAGGUCUGCCUAGCAAUGAACUCAUUUUUGUAACAUCCCUAUGAGGCAGCUAAAUAAUUAUCAUCUUUUCUACACAUGAAGAUGUUUUUACAUUAACUUAUUUUUCUAAAAUGUCACAGAAUGAAUCUGAGAAUUUAGGAGUCUGAUGAGAGUCUUGUGAACUAUAUAAUAUAGUGCUUUGCAAUCCAGCUUUUGUGUUACAUUCAGCUUGAUCCAUUAGAUACAGAAAAUUGCAUUAACUUCUUACUGCUUGUGUCUGCAGUGCAAGGCACUUAAACACGUGUGAUCUCAAGCACCUGAGUAACCCCGAUGUAGUGUCACACACAUGAUUCAAUACUUUGCUGGACUUGUGUCUUCAGUGACCACAUCCUUUAAAAUGCACAAGGGCAUUUUAAAGUGAAGGCUGAAAAUACAGUAUUGAACAUGUUGGGCAUGUGAUACUUGACACUGCACCUGUUGUAUGCACUGCAUGUAGCUAUAACUAUUUGCAUUGCAUACCUCUCUUAACAUGCCAGGCAAGAAAAGUUAGAGUCUGAUGAUUGAUUUUCCUUGCCUUAUGCCAUUAUAAUUGCCAUUCUGUCUUUUGCUUAUCCCAACUGUGCCUAGGUAUUGCUGUUUACUGUAGUAAUUGCUUUAAUUAAGGUGUCAGAGUGACAACUUUGUGACACCUGGCUCCAUAUUUAUAAUUUUUUUUGAAGAAAAUGCUGAUUAUGUUGAAUUUUGCAAUUUUUGAUCCCUAUUUAAAAGAGACAUCUGUCUUGGAGAAACAAGUGAAUUGCACUGAGCCUAUUUUAAGUUACAAGAAGAGAAAGGAUUAGAAAACCAGUUGGAUGCAAGGUGAAUUUAUGCAUGCAAAGUCUAAUUUAGCAUUGAAAUAGCCUCAGGAAGACAUAGACUCUUAGCUGAUUUCUUAUUGCUUCAGUGACUCUAAAUAAAAUUAAAAGGCAGUAAGUUAAUGUUAGGAGUUAAGGUUUCUAGUGCAGUGCUGAGUGAUAGGACUACACUGUAUUCAUAUUUUUUAUCCCAGUGUAAACCCUUAUUAUGAUAUUACCAUUUUUUUAAAAGAUCUGUAUACCGUAAUAUAUGUUGCCUCUGCUAUUUGUUAGGUUGUUUUUUUUUAUAUUUUAGGCUGCAGCCAAAGCUUUAUCUCGUAAUAUUUCCUGGCAGGCUGUGGCAGGUAGAGUGUGGGAGUGUGUUCAGUUUCUCCUGCCUCCCAACACUGCUGAAGCAACACUACUAGUUCUUUGUGCUGUAUAUAAAAUGUCUCGUGGCAUUAUCUCUGAGAGAAAUGGAAAUGAUUUUCUACAGAGCACAAAGUGAUUACUUAUACCAAAUGGGGUGAUUUGAAAACAAAAUGGCAGUCAUUUGUAAGUUUCAUUCAGCUGUUUAAUAUCGUAGCUUUCAUGUUUAAUUUCCUUUCAGAAAAACAGCUGCAUACAUAGAUUUAUACUUCAUGUGGUUUAUCUGCAUGGUUGUACCUUAUAUCAUCUGCCCAGGAUAACAUAGCAGUUAAUAGGACCAUGCUGAUUUCCACCCCCUCCAAAGCUGCCUGUGUACCAGUGGUAGUAUAGUGAUGCUGAUAUUCAGGGUGUUCUAAUCUAAGACAUAACUGAGGCAGAAUCCCUGAUACCGGAGUGGAGUGCUAGUGUCCAAGUACUAACACCAAUACAUUCCUUAAUAUAAAUGAAAUUUUGCAAAGGACAGACCAUUCAGUUUUUGUGUAUUUUUCUCUUAGCAGAGUUACUUCCUGAGCUAACUUAAGAUUUGAUCUAAAGCCUACUGAAGUUUUUAGGAGCCAUUGCAUGGCCAGUCAGACCUACUGGCUGCUGACACACAUUUUGGUAAAGGUCUGAUUGUCAGUUGGCUCUAGAGACUGACUGGGCCAGUUUGAUCCCCCAGGGCCAGUCCCUGAUCAGCUGAUCGGUGACUUGCAGGGACCACACUGGAGGCCAUUAGAGCCAUUAGAACCUGGCCACACAUUCAUCUGCCAUUUGAAAUCAGCCACAAAUUUUAUUACACAUUUUUUCAUAAUAAAUGUUGUGGCUUUCUUUGCUUUUUGUUGUGCCAUUAAUCACCUGAAUUUGUGGCCAGGCAACACUAUACGAUACAAUUAACUGGUCUUAAUCACAGCUAAGUAACAUGGUCUAAGUAACUGAUUUAAGUAACGUCUGCAAAGGACAUACUGAAAGGCUAUCUCAAUCAGUUUGAUCUUUCUUUCUGUACAGUAUUUCCACAUACGGUUUACCUUUGGAAUAUUCUUUAUUAAAAUAUUGCAUGGUAUCACCCAGUGGGUCUUAAUGCAGUAAAAAAAAAUCCAGUGAUCCUUUAAAAACAAUCAUUUUCUUCUUCUCCAAAAAAGGGUUCUGUAGAAAGGCAGCUAUUAGUCGUUCAUUUAUUACCUUCCUUACAAUUGCUGUGCUUCUGUAACAAAAAAAUGAAUUUUUGUUUUAUAUUAGUGCUGGGUUUGUUUUCUUUUUUGUUUUGUUUUGUUAUUUUUGUUGCUGUGCACCUUGAGCAUUUUGGCUGGGAAUGCGCCGCAAAGAUGUGAAUAUCCCACAAAGUAAAUAUGAUGCCAGGGACGUUUGUAUGGUUAUUGAUGCACAAUUUGAUGUUGUUCUGUUAUAAAAAUACCUAGUCUCAUGCUGAGGGCAUCUAGCCUAGCACUAAGUGUAUAACAUGCAAAUCCCUACAUGCUCAUUAGUUGCAGCCUAACAUUUUACAGCUCUUGACAACAAACAUAGCCACUCUUUCCAAUUACUCCAUCCUUUUUAUCACUGCCCUUAUAAACCUGACCUAUUGUUUUAGAGGGAGAUUUGCCUUGCCUAAUGAGUAAUUGUUAAAAGAAUUAAAUGAUAAAAUUAUUUUUUCUCCUGUCUUCUACAUUCAGAAAUAGAAGGGGGAGAAGGAAUCCAGCCUCACACCAGGCAAGGGGUUUCAUUUUUUUAAAAAGUAAAAAUAAGUUUUAAAAAUUCAUUGGACAGAUCACAACUUUGUUGAACAUCUUUUAGCUGCAAAAUGGUGAGAGGAGAACUCAUUAAAACAACAGUUCUAAUUAGGAAUGCUUGCUGUUAACUUGGCAAUAACUGUAUCCUGGGUUAAUAGGCCCGUCUCCAUUUGACAUUGAAAACUUAUUUAACACAGAAUGUGGGUACUAGUUCAGUGAGUGCUCUAGAGUUAACUGAGUAACAAUGCUGAAAUCUGACCUUUGAAUCUUAAUUGUUUAAUUGCAGAUUGUGAAAGGCUUGGAAGUACUUUGAUUAGACCAUGCACAUGCUAAGAAAUUUUGAUUCCGUUUUAAAGCGACCUGAUAGAUAAAACUGUGAUCCAAUUGCUAGUAAAUGUCCUGUGCAUUUAGGCUUAAAAGUCAAUACCAAAUUGGGAGAGGCAGUUUAAACAAACUUACAUUAAACAUAGUCACUUAAUCAACCUUUUGUUGACUUCCAUGUUGAACUCAAGGUAGAUCUGAUUUUAGCGCUGGCUCGUGAUAGCCGAGUGAUUCCUGGUAGCGACUUCAGGUUUGAUAGCUUGACUCAUUUUUGAGGUAGAGAUGUAAAAGGUGAGCUUAUUUCCAAAACAUUUUUUUUUAGCCUUUUUUUUUUUUUUUUGUGAUAACAGGUGGCUAACUAACCUUUUCAAAUCUUUUAGAAUUUAAAGAUGAUCAAAACCCAUAAUUUUUAACUGGAAAUUUUUUUGCUUCAGAUUAUGGCAUUAAAAUGUUGUAAUAAAACUGAGCUCUGUGCAUCCUGAAAUUAUUUGAGAAACAAGACUUAAAGCAGACAGCCACUCUUGAGUGUCGCAAAACCACUAGAUUUAAGUGAUGAAGAUACUGUGCAUUUUUGUAUGAAGUGUUUAGAGGUUCCUAAUUAUUCAGAUGUUUCAAAAGCACAGAAGUUGUAGGUACACAUCUUCUAUAAAAUAUUUUUGUGUCACCAUAAUUUUGUAACACACUUUCCUUCGUGAGACUAGAGCCUCAAUUGCUGGUCACUGAUGCAUAUUGCAUUUGCACUUAAAUAAAUCCUAGUUUCAAAGUGUUUUAAACCUUGAUCUAUUUUUGAUAAACAGAAAUGUAGCAUUUUUAUCUGAUUUCCAGUCAGUGAUGAAUAUAUGCAUGGAGAGAAAAAUAUACUGACUUGACGCAGUGAUUUAAAACCAAGAAAGCAGCAGGAUGGCACUAGAAAUUGACAUAAAGAUGUAUGUCUCCUAUGGGAACUAUACCUCCAGUUCCUUGCUUGAUUACCAAAUUAUGCUCCCCAUUUAGUCCAGACUCUAUACUAGUGAAGCAGAGACUUGCCUUUACUUUUUAUGAGAAAAUACUGGCUUUAGCAUGGAGUUCCUUUGUCUGUUGCUUCAUUUUCUGAGGGACGUCAGUUAAAUUAAACAAAUAGCAUAGUGUUGUAUUUUUUAAACCACAAAAAUUAAAAUCAGAUUAAACUAUUAAUUAAUUAUUUUGGAAUUUGGAUGGUAUGAGUAGAGGUCUAAGAAGUAUAGGCAUAUAUUAGGAAUUUCAAACACUGCUUAUAUAUUUUUAAAAAAAAUCAAAGUAUGUAUGAUUAUUUGAAAUAUAUAAUGAUGAAAAUGAGAAAAGAUUGUUGUGUUGACAGAUUUAAAUUGGAAUUUUUAAUACUAUCCAAUACCAAAACCCUAUAAAAGGGCUAAUGAAAAGAAAAUAUUAUGUAUUCUAAUGAACAGCUUGUGUAAUACAAUCGGUGUGAUGUUUUUGUUCUGUAUUAUAUUUAUUGUAUGUCAGUAAAAAUAAAAAUUAUAUGUCUUGUUUCCUUAACAGAAA